UACGUAGGGUGCGAGCGUUAAUCGGAAUUACUGGGCGUAAAGCGUGCGCAGGCGGUUUGUUAAGACAGGCGUGAAAUCCCCGGGCUCAACCUGGGAAUGGCAUUUGGGACUGCAAGGCUUGAGUGCGGCAGAGGAGACUGGAAUUCCUGGUGUAGCAGUGAAAUGCGUAGAUAUCAGGAGGAAUACCGAUGGCGAAGGCAGGUCUCUGGGCUGACACUGACGCUCAUGCACGAAAGCGUGGGGAGCAAACAGG
rnacentral:rRNA from 1 species